AGGCCCAGUGGCUCAGUGGUUAAUUUUAUUGUUGCACACCUCAAAUAAGAAUAUAGUUGGGAAUUUCAAAAGAAGUACCAUUAAAAUCCUUGAAGAGAACAUCUUCAGUCGCAUAGCGGUUAGAGCAUUGUGAAGACUGGGGUUCUGAUCUCACCGCUUCAAGCUGACAGCUCGCUCUCUGCAACUCUCACAUGGUUGCCCACUAAAGCUAAGCCGGUUUGUGCUUGGUCAGUACCUGUAUGGGAGACUAAAUGACUUAUCAGACUUUUAAAUAACGCUGCCUUUAACGUUCUCCAUCCGCUCCACCAGGCGGCGCGCGCGACUUCCCGUUCACUCUGAAUCACAGCUUCAGGAUGUUGACAGUGUGACGUUUGUUUUGGUGCAGCAGCAGCAGCACGAGUGUGCAGUUUUCAACACAUAAACUGAAGAUGACAGCUCAGCGACAGUGUUUUAAUGUCACUAAACAACAUUUAAUGCAGUCCGACAACUAAAAUAACCGACACACGCUGAGAUAAAGGACAGGAAUGCAGUGAAAAGCGACUCAUCUAGAAUGAGGGAUGUGUUUGGACCGUACAGUCAACAGAAGCAGAGCUCCGGGACGUUUGGACUACAUUUACUGGCGUGAUGGACGUCUGCUGCGGACAG